GUGCCUGCUUCAGCAGCACAUAUGCUAAUACUGGAUACCGAGAAGAUUAGCAUGGCCAUUGCAAAAGGAUGACACACAUUCAUGAAGCGUUUCAUUGGUUUUU